rnacentral:snRNA from 1 species
AUAUAUAGAUGAUCUAACAGAUU